ACUUUUUGUAGAACGGUCCAGCGAGUUAUUGUAUAUGGCAAGGUUAAAUACUAAGUAAGGUAUGGAGCCGAAGCGAAAGCGAGUUUUAAUAGGGCGUUAAGUUGCAUACAAUGGGCCCGAAACCGGGUGACCUACCCAUGGUCAGGUUGAAGUGGAAGUAAAAUUCCAUGGAGGACCGAACCGACCUCCGUUGAAAAGGCGGCGGAUGAACUGUGGGUAGCGGAGAAAUUCCAAUCGAACCCGGAGAUAGCUGGUUCUCCCCGAAAUAGUUUUAGGACUAGCCUCAAGUUAGAUACCUGGAGGUAAAGCACUGAAUAGCCUAGCGGCCGAGAGGUUAGCGAAGCUUAUCAAACUCAGAAUGCCAGAGUAUUGAUGCUUGGGAGUCAGACAGUGUCAGAUAAAUGUCAUUGUCAAAAGGGAAACAGCCCAGAUCUACAGCUAAGGUCCCAAAGUCAGGUUAAGUGGAAAACGAUGUGAAGAUACGCAGACAACCAGGAUGUUGGCUCAGAAGCAGCCACUCAUUCAAAGAGUGCGUAAUAGCUCACUGGUCGAGCGUCUUUGCGCGGAGAAUUUAACGGGGCUAAAUCUGACACCGAAGCUUAGGCAAUGUACUUUGUACAUUGGGUAGGGGAGCGUUGUAUACGCGGUGAAACAGUAGCGCAAGCGGCUGUGGAGUGUAUAGAAGUGAGAAUGCCGGAAUGAGUAGCGCGAAUGCAGUGAGAAUCUGCAUGGCCGAAAGCCUCAGGUUUCUGGAGGAAGGUUCGUCCGCUCCAGGUCAGUCGGGAGCUAAGGUGAGGCCUGACGGCGUAGCCGAUGCACAGACGGUAGAGAUUCCGUCACCACCAAAAGAGUUAAGCACAGGGACACAUUUGAAGUCUCAGAGCCGGGUGUUGGUUCCGGUAGAGAUCGAGGGAAGUUAGUACCGAAGUCUGGGAUGGAAGAUGGCGAGAAAAGCUGUGUGUAUUUCUGAGGUGCCCGUACCGCAAACCGACACAGGUAGGUAGGAAGAAGAUUCUAAGGCCAACGGGAGAAGGGUUGUUAAGGAACUCGGCAAAUUGACCCCGUAACUUCGGGAGAAGGGGUGCUCCAGAGAUGGAGCCGCAGAGAAUCGGCCCAAGCAACUGUUUACCAAAAACACAGGUUUGUGCUAAAUCGAAAGAUGACGUAUACGAGCUGACGCCUGCCCGGUGCUGGAAGGUUAAGAGGAGAUGUGCAAGCAUUGAAUCGAAGCCCCAGUGAACGGCGGCCGUAACUAUAACGGUCCUAAGGUAGCGAAAUUCCUUGUCAGGUAAGUUCUGACCCGCAUGAAAGGCGUAAUGAUUUGGGCACUGUCUCAACAGCCCGCCCGGCGAAAUUGUAGUACCGGUGAAGAUGCCGGUUACCCGCGACAAGACGGAAAGACCCCAUGGAGCUUUACUGUAGCCUAAUAUUGGGUUUCGAUGUUGCAUGCACAGGAUAGAUGGGACGCUGGGAAGUAAUGGCUUUGGCCAUUAUGGAGCGGACGUUGGGAUACCAUCCUUGCGAUAUUGGAAUUCUAACCUGCAGCUCUGAAUCGAGCUGGGGGACAUUGUUAGGUGGGCAGUUUGACUGGGGCGGUCGCCUCCUAAAGAGUAACGGAGGCGUUCAAAGGUUCGCUCAGCUUGAACGGAAAUCAAGCAAAAGAGUGCAAACGCAGAAGCGAGCCUAACUGCGAGACUGACGGGUCGAGCAGUAACGAAAGUUGGAGUUAGUGAUCCGGUGGUAUGUGAGUGGAAAUGCCAUCGCUCAACGGAUAAAAGUUACCCUGGGGAUAACAGGCUGAUCUCCCCCAAGAGUCCACAUCGACGGGGAGGUUUGGCACCUCGAUGUCGGCUCAUCGCAUCCUGGGGCUGUAUUCGGUCCCAAGGGUUUGGCUGUUCGCCAAUUAAAGCGGUACGCGAGCUGGGUUCAGAACGUCGUGAGACAGUUCGGUCCUAAUCUGCUGUAGGCGUAAAGAUUUGAGUGGAGUUGUCCCUAGUACGAGAGGACCGGGAUGAACGCACCUAUUGUGCA
rnacentral:rRNA from 1 species